rnacentral:rRNA from 1 species
GACGAACGCUGGCGGCGUGCUUAACACAUGCAAGUCGAACGGUAAGGCCCUUCGGGGUACACGAGUGGCGAACGGGUGAGUAACACGUGGGUGAUCUGCCCUGCACUUCGGGAUAAGCCUGGGAAACUGGGUCUAAUACCGGAUAGGACCACUGCCUGCAUGGGUGGUGGUGGAAAGCUUUUGCGGUGUGGGAUGGGCUCGCGGCCUAUCAGCUUGUUGGUGGGGUGAUGGCCUACCAAGGCGACGACGGGUAGCCGGCCUGAGAGGGUGACCGGCCACACUGGGACUGAGAUACGGCCCAGACUCCUACGGGAGGCAGCAGUGGGGAAUAUUGCACAAUGGGCGCAAGCCUGAUGCAGCGACGCCGCGUGAGGGAUGACGGCCUUCGGGUUGUAAACCUCUUUCAGCACCGACGAAGCGCAAGUGACGGUAGGUGCAGAAGAAGGACCGGCUAACUACGUGCCAGCCGCCGCGGUAA